CAGCAGCCGCGGUAAUACGAAGGGGGCUAGCGUUGUUCGGAAUUACUGGGCGUAAAGCGCACGUAGGCGGACAUUUAAGUCAGGGGUGAAAUCCCGGGGCUCAACCCCGGAACUGCCUUUGAUACUGGGUGUCUAGAGUAUUGAAGAGGUGAGUGGAAUUCCGAGUGUAGAGGUGAAAUUCGUAGAUAUUCGGAGGAACACCAGUGGCGAAGGCGGCUCACUGGUCCAUUACUGACGCUGAGGUGCGAAAGCGUGGGGAGCAAACAGGAUUAGAUACCCCAGUAGUCCCUGUCUCUUAUAA
rnacentral:rRNA from 1 species